rnacentral:rRNA from 1 species
CUACGGGGCGCACCAGGCGAGAAAACUUUGCAAUGUGCGAAAGCACGACAAGGUUAAUCCGAGUGGUUUGUGCUAAACGAACCUUUUGACAGUCCUAGAAACACUGUUGAAUAAGGGGUGGGCAAGUUCUGGUGUCAGCCGCCGCGGUAAAACCAGCACCUCAAGUGGUCAGGAUGAUUACUGGGCCUAAAGCAUCCGUAGCCGGCUCUGUAAGUUUUCGGUUAAAUCUGUACGCUCAACGUACAGGCUGCCGGGAAUACUGCAGAGCUAGGGAGUGGGAGAGGUAGACGGUACUCGGUAGGAAGGGGUAAAAUCCUUUGAUCUAUUGAUGACCACCUGUGGCGAAGGCGGUCUACCAGAACACGUCCGACGGUGAGGGAUGAAAGCUGGGGGAGCAAACCGGAUUAGAUACCCGGGUAGUC